AUAGAUCAUUCACCUCCAUAUCACCUAAAAGAAGAAAGUUAAAGGCAGCAGUAUAUUUAUUUGUUGAGGGUUGUCACCGUGUUCCCUUUCCUUGCUGUGGGUGAGUGGAAGGAAGCUGCAAGAAGACCACUCACAGAGCUUGGCAUAUGCCCAUUAGUAUUCGGAGGAGGAAGCGACUGGUACCUGAUGCCUACCUGAAAAUGUCUAAUGGGAAAGAUCUGGCCAACCACUCUGAAGGCAGAGCAAGAGGAGUGUACUACAUUCAGAGGAAGCCACUCUUCUACCAAAAGCAAGGACAAGGCCCCUAGGCAGAAGGACUUCCCUUGUCUCAGAUGAAACUUUGGACUUGGACUUUUGGGUUAAUGCUGGAAUAAAUUAUGACUUUGGAGGACUGUUGGGAAGGCAUGAUUUGCUUCAAAAUGUGAAAGAUACAUGAGAUUUGACAGGGGCCAGGGCUGGAAUGACAUGGUUAGGGUUUGUGUUUCCACCUAAAUCUCAUCUUGAAUUAUAAUCCCCAUAAUCCCCAUAAUGCCCACAUGUCAAGGCAGAGACCAGGUGAAGAUAAUUGGAUGAUAGGGACAGUUUCCCUCAUGCUGUUCUCAUGAUAGUGAGUGAAUUCUCACAAGAUCUAAUGGUUUUAUAAGUGUUUGGUAGUUCCUCUUGCAUUCAUUCUCCUUCCUGCUGCCUGUGAGAAGGUGCCUUGCUUCCCCUUUGCCUUCCACCAUAAUCGUAAGUUUCCUGAGGUCUCCCAAGCCAUGUGCAACUGUGAGUCAAUUAAACCUCUUUCCUUUAUAAACU
ensembl:lncRNA novel transcript